UACGUAGGGUGCGAGCGUUAAUCGGAAUUACUGGGCGUAAAGCGUGCUCAGGUGGUUGCGUAAGUCUGAUGUGAAAUCCCUGGGCUCAACCUAGGAACUGCAUUGGAGACUGCGUGGCUAGAGUGCGUCAGAGGGGGGUGGAAUUCCACGUGUAGCAGUGAAAUGCGUAGAGAUGUGGAGGAACACCGAUGGCGAAGGCAGCCCCCGGGGAUGACAAUGACACUCAUGCACGAAAGCGUGGGGAGCAAACAGG
rnacentral:rRNA from 1 species